CGCCUAACACAUGCAAGUCGAACGCAGUAGCAAUACUGAGUGGCAAACGGGUGAGUAUAAUGUGGGAAUCUGCCUUUUGGUCUGGAAUAACACGGGGAAACUUGUGCUAAUACCGGAUAAGCCUUUACAGGGAAAGUUUUAAUGCCGAAAGAUGAGCCCGCACUUGAUUAGCUAGUUGGUAAGGUAAAAGCUUACCAAGGCAACGAUCAAUAGCUGUUCUUAGAGGAAGACCAGCCACAUUGGGACUGAGACACGGCCCAGACUCCUACGGGAGGCAGCAGUGGGGAAUCUUGCACAAUGGGGGAAACCCUGAUGCAGCGAUGCCGCGUGAGUGAAGAAGGCCUUUGGGUUGUAAAACUCUUUCGUCGGGGAAGAAAAUGACUGUACCCGAAUAAGAAGGUCCGGCUAACUUCGUGCCAGCAGCCGCGGUAAUACGAAGGGACCUAGCGUAGUUCGGAAUUACUGGGCUUAAAGAGCUCGUAGGUGGUUAAAAAAGUUGAUGGUGAAAUCCCAAGGCUCAACCUUGGAACUGCCAUCAAAACUUUUUAGCUAGAGUGUGAUAGAGGUAAGUGGAAUUUCUAGUGUAGAGGUGAAAUUCGUAGAUAUUAGAAAGAACACCAAAUGCGAAGGCAACUUACUGGGUCACUACUGACACUGAGGAGCGAAAGCAUGGGUAGCGAAGAGGAUUAGAUACCCUCGUAGUCCAUGCCGUAAACGAUGUGUGCUAGACGUUGGAAAUAUAUUUUUCAGUGUCGCAGCGAAAGCAUUAAGCACACCGCCUGGGGAGUAC
rnacentral:rRNA from 1 species